UGGAGGCUAGUCCAACAUAAGACCCCUGAUUUCGGCUCAGAGAAUCAUGGUUUAAAUCCAUGGCCUUCUU
rnacentral:tRNA from 1 species